rnacentral:misc_RNA from 1 species
CUAAAUGCUAAUACUUACCGUCAAGGUAGACCGCGCCGUCGGAAUGGAAGCCGAUGGACGACGCGUACGUUCCGACCAGCGACGGCCGUUGUGGAGCGGCGGACGCGGUGGCGAGGCCGAGCGACAUGACCAAAUGCCUCCGUUUAUCCUGUUCGUCGUCCUUGACGGCUCUGUUUUCUUGGACCGGGUUCUUGGCGGCAGGUGCAAAACUGACGAGCUUGACGCGGUCGCUCUCGCUGGAGCCGUCCCGCCCACGCCUGCUCGCCCUCGACGCGGACCACUCCGGCCGUUUCGUGUUCAGGUAGAUGAUGGUGAUCUCGAAGUAGGCGUCCUGCGGGAACGGCGCGCCGGCGAGGGGCGGGCCCGGCAGCGGAAGGCUCAUCCUGGCGAGGCACAGCGCGUUGGGGUUCCCCGCGUCCGUGUCGCCGCGGAGCGGGCUCGGGUUGCUCCCGGGGAGCCACUUCCUGCUGGACGCGGCGGCGGCCGCCGGGUCGAGCCGCACCGCUUGCAUCCGCUCGGACGAUCCCAUGGGCAGCUCCCACGCUGCCGCCUCCGCCAUGUCGCGGCUCGUCCCGGCGUCGCAGAGCGGGCACGUCCCCCACAGCGGCGACGACGACGCGGACUUGGACUUGGACCGCGGCGGCGCCACCGCGAACACGAACUGCGCCCACCCGUUCUCCGCCGCCUCGGUCACCAGCCGCGGGUGGUCGGCCCACUGGAACGGGCCCUGCUGCGCGCCGCCGCCCGAGCCACGGUGCCUCGCGUCGACGCGGGCGUGGUGCUGGUGCUGGUGCAACUGCUGGAACCGGAGCCCCACGCGGCCGCUGGCGGCGUUGUACCUCAUGUUGAGCUUCGCCAGCCCGGGGCUCGCCGUCGGCUCCGCAACGGCCGUAGGGGAAACUUCUGGCAGCGCCGGCGGCGCAUUACGGGGCAAGCUCCUACGCCGGUACACCAGAAACACGACCGCGAUCAGCGCCGCGAUGGGGAGCCCGACGGCGAGCAGCAGCUUAAGCCACAGCGCCGCCAUACUGCACGCACGUUCCUCCCGCUGUUGCUCACUGAGAAGUAUAGAUGGCCAAAAAGCACGAGGCCCGUGAGCCCGGCACGAAGCCCGCUUUUUGGGCCCGGUCCGAGCCCGGCACGGUAGAAUAAGCGGGCGGGCUUGGACAGGAAACUAGGCACGGCGGGCUAGCCCGGCACGGCCCGUUUACCUCUAAGCCCG